CAUCGGCGACUGAUCACGCCGUAGUCUGAAAGAGGCUCGUCCCCCGCCGCUUCAGACUCGGGCAAAGGCCUUAUCCCCCUCUCCGGGCCUUUGUCCCCAUAUUCCGGAGCCGUCGUGGCAGUCCCCGCCUCAAGCCACGACGGCCUCCA
rnacentral:sRNA from 1 species